CGAACUUAUGUGGAUCUGAAGGUGAGAUGAGUUUGCUCAGUAUUCGCUCUUUUAGCUCUUAUGAUCUUCUGUUUCUAAUUGUUGUUACUUUAGAGGGUUGUUUGAUAGUUUCCAGACCGUUAGACUUAAAAUCUAGUAUUUUAAAAUUAAAAAAAUGUGAGGCUUUUGUGGCCGGGGUCCACAUUCCUCAAGGGCAUGCUGUUAGUUUAGGAAAUAGUUGCUUGUACAACAGGUAAAUGAUUAGAUAGACUUGAUACCUUUUCUGAUCUGUGUAGCUCUAUCUGUAAAAUAGCAACCGUCCCAUAAGGGAUCUUUUCAAUUCUAAUCUUGCAUGAUGCCUCUUCUAUACUUACUAACCUGCCCUUUGCCAAAUAUCUUACUGCUUUCCUUGUUAGAUGUACUAUGUGACUAAUUGAAUCUUCCUGGAAAGCAAAAAGGCAAAGUUGGGUUCUUUUAUAUUUUCUUGGUAGAUUGCUUAAAGGGUUACUCAAUUAUAUGGAUGUUGUAGUUCAUUCUUUGACACAUAUUUUUGGGUUAUGCAGGAUAAAUGGAAAACACUUGUG
rnacentral:misc_RNA from 1 species